UGGGCGAUGAGCGGCAUCGGCGGGCGAUGCAGCGGUUUUCCGGGUGUAUCGGGGUGGUUUUGCCCAGUAACUAGUUACGUUGUUAGGCUCCUGUUUGUCUUUGGGUAGAUUACAGGGAACUGCACCAGGUGCCCGAAAUUAACUCACUGGGAAGAGGGGAAACUACAAUUAAGUUACAAGCAAAGAGCUGCAGAAUAGGGCUUCAGCAGCACCAGGGAACAAAAAGACAAGCGUGGGGGGGCCGAAGCCUCUACUUCCGCCUACAUCCUUCCCAUGGAAUGGGAUCUUCCCUGAGAAAUCUUCCUCUCCGCUUGCGCGCCUGGGUAAUUUACUUCCUGCGCAUGCGCUUGAUCUGCACCCUGUUUCCCUUCCCGGCCCGGAGCGGAGGGACGCGCUUUGUGCCCCGUCCCCGUUCUAGCUGCCGUGCGCGUGCGCUUGCGCGGGAGCCGUGACGGACGUCUAACGGCCGUACGUCGCGUGCGGCGUCUGGCCGUUGUCUGCGUGUGGCUGUGGGUGCCGCAGGCAGAGGAGCGGGGCCUGGCCGUGGGGGAGAAAGUGUAGGGCCGAGGCAGGGAGAGGGUAGGCGAAGGUCUCUUUCCUGUAACGCGCUUGAUUGAGUCCUGUGACAUGGGUCACUUUCCCUCAGGGUUUGUUGAGUUGCGCUGACCCCAUCUCCACCCCAUUGUUACAUCUCAUUGUUUUUAAGUCAGCCACGAAUGUCUUGAAUUCCAUGGUGUCAGUUGGGGUGUCAGCUGUCAGCGUGUUAAAUACCUGGCUUGAAAGGUCAAUAUAUGCAUAGUGCAAGUUGGGUAAAGUAAUAAAGUUACUUCUUAACCUGGAUCAAUUUUUGAUCUGCUAUCCUGUUCUCAAGUUACUGUUUUUACUUGUUUUUGACAAUACUGUUCUCCCCAAAAGUACUUUAGUUACUUCUCUUGUUGCCUCUUUCUUUUUUGCUCUCUUUUUAGCAUCUCAAAUUUUGUUCUAUUUUCCUUGUUAUUUUGUCAGUCUUUCACACCAGUUACUGUAGCUUGGUUCCUUCCAUUAUUUGCUUUUCUUUGUUUUCAGGUAAUGUUACCAAGAUAUCCAUUGACUGCUCUUUAACUGUUUCUCCCCUUAUCAUUCUUGAUCUCAAAGCCGAUUUCCUGUCUUCUUCUUUAAGCAGUUCCAGUCUGCUGUUAACAGUCCACAGGGCCUGCUGCUGAAUAAAUUGGCAUACUGAUAACUGUGCUUGCUGAAGCUUUUCUCAUCUCGAAUAUGUGAGGAAGAGUGGGAAAAGAAACCCUGAAGGGAUUAGAAAAAAGAAAAAGGAUGAGAUCCCUACCCCAAAGAAUUGUUGAUGAGUUUAAAUUCCGUACUUAUCAGCUAAGGAGAAAUAGAGCACUCUUUUAUUCCCCAAGUUUCAUUUCUUCCUCAAAUAAAGCAAGAUCUCCUAUGAGUAGGAAGUGCCCCUUUUAUAAUAUGUACAGGAUAAGUUAGCCUGACAGCCGUAGAACCCUGAAAUUUGAAGUCACAUUCCUUGAUGCAGUGGUUACAAAACAACAGGUGGACUGUACAUGUCUGUGUGUGGCUCACAUUUCAUCAGGCAACAGAAAGCGUUGGAUGGUAGGACUGCAGCUUCAGUAGGAGUGGCAAGGAAUGGCAGAAGCAAGCGGAGCUCUUGGAACAGAAGAAUGAAUUUGGAAGCUUUCUAUUCACAGUUGAUAACAGCACUAUAGUUCUGGGUCUUCUGAUCUUGCCAUUUUGUAGAAUUACUUAUUCAGCAUCUGGUAGGGAGUGAGACAUGGAUGUGAAGGCUUUCUGGCUGACACUCAGCGCACUGAAAUGUACGAUGAUUAUAAAAUGGUGGAAUCAGCCAAAGGUUUUUUUGACAGUUGUAACAGCACUUCUGACUCAUCUGGCAUACCUGUCAUUUUUUUCUCAUGUACUAAGUUGGGAAAGUGAAAGUUAGAAAUGAAUGAUGGCUGUGGUGUCAAUGAAAAAUGGUAAAUAUUAGGCCUAGGGUAGGUACCUUUACAAGGCUAUGAACUUGGUUCAGGUAUGCUAACUGAAACUAGUAUGUCCUUUCUUCUGAUGAAUAUGGAAUAAGGGACAGGUUUCUCAAGGAUGUAUUCAAAUCCACAAUGACAAAGGUAAGAAGGAGAAUUGUUGGAGAAUAUUUAUUCAGAAUAUAUCUGGAAAAAAAAAACCCAACUUGAAUCUUCCUUAUUUGUUUGGUCUUGCAUGUGAUAAGCAGAAAAUCAGAGAGUCACAGUUCAGCUUCAGGACACAUUGGUAGCUAUAGAAAGUGCUGGUGUGAAAAUUAAAAUCUCCGUUUAGUUUUUAGCAAUAUACCCCAAAGCUUUAGACGGGGAUAGUUGAUCUGGGCUCUGGCGCAUCAUACAAAAAGUCUUAAUGUUGUAUAGAUGUCUCCAUGGAAUUAUCAGCGACAGACUCAGGACUGACUGUGACCUUGUGUGUGACCUGAACCUUUCUCAGCAAUGAAUAAACUAUUCUUGGAUGUAUUCUUGGAGCAGUCAUUGUCAUGCUGUUCAGCACAGUGUUGUGCAUGGAGUCUUUCAGCACUCGUAAGUGAGCUGUAAGUAUGCUUCUGCAUCAUGAGGAAGGAGUUAAUCUGUAGAAUACAGAAGCAAAUAUAUGACAUCUUCAAAUGAACUAUCCAUAAUUCCAGUAUGCCAGUCAUUAUGUGGUGGUGGUGAUGAUUAUGUAUCAGAUGGGAAUCUUUUUUGGAUCUCUAGCUGCUGCCAGUGCUUAGAAAGCAACUGCUAGGUUUACGUUAAUGCUAUUUAAAAUAUUUUAAAAACAUAAGACAAACUACACUCAAGUCAUGAGAUUCAUUGAAAAAAUGAAUGGUAAUGUUUUGUUUUAUAUUCUGUGUAAAUUUUUAGGCUUUGUGUUUUCAAGGUUUUUUUUUUUCCUGUUGGCAUGACAGCUAGAAUUUUUUUCCGCUGAAAACUGAGUUAGUCAUGUGACUCCAGGACCUGGAGCCUUAAUGGGGGAAGGAGAAGAGAAAUGCUUGAGACUCCUAAUAAAACUUCAAGAGUUCCAAACACCAUUUGCUUUCUAUCAUCUGCACUUACCUCAAAGGUUAAUUUUUAGACACAAACUCUUCUACCUUAUGCAUGUCCUUUUUUUUCAAGGUCGGUUUAUUACAGUAUGUUCAUAUUAGAAUAAAACCUCUCCUGCUCUAAGCUUUUCAAAUCCUCCCUGUAGGCAUCUUCAAUCCUUCCAGCUCCAGAUUCCCUUCUCUUCAAGUCCCAGACUGUGAAUUUCAGUGUUCUUCACCCUCUGGCCGCUGUCUCAGAGCUCUUUGCCCAUGUAUUGCUGCCCUUGUACUUCAAAAGCAAGACAGCCCUCCCACAUUCCCACUAGCUGUUCACAUUAGCUAAUUCCUUCCCAUUUGCUGUUUUGCCUAACUAGACCAACUCUUUCCCUCUUUUUAUUUCUACGAAAGCAGAGCUCUUGUUCCUGCUUCUGAUGGAGUCUUACUCAUUCUGGCUGCAGACUGAACUAAUAAAAAUUCUGCAUGAGAAGAAUCCCAAGCCUGUAAAAAUAGGAUACAUCCAGAAAAAAAUUGCAUGAGGUCCGUCCUUUACUAUCUGCUCUGUGUUUUGUAUUCAAAAGAAUAGAUUAAAUUUCAGGUUAAUUUUGACCUAUCAAACCUCCAGAGAGAAGUAAUUUAUAAGUUAAUUUAUAGUAAGUUAUAUUAUAUCAGCUAUAUUCCUUUGGAGCAUUCAAACUGAGAAUGCACUUGAAUCCUAGGAUCCUCAACAGGCAAAAAAAGAUGUAGGCUCAUUAAAUCUAUUGGCAGAUUUCUUUUAAGGCUCCUCUGCUUUGCGAAGAAGGCUAUCAUGUGAACAAGAAAGUUAAUGCAUGCAGGGAGGAACAGAAAAAUACUGGCUCUAGUAAUGGUGAUUGUUGCAGAACAUAAUUGAACACUGACUGCAGCAAAGCUAAAAGGAGACCUGCAUUACAAUGACAUAAAAUCUAUUUUUUUCCCCCUAACCUCUGAUUUGAGCUGUCUGACUAAGAGCAGGCGCUGGGCAAUAGCUUUAUUUCAACAGCUCGUUGUAGCUGAAGGAGUAGAUGCAGUUGUGCUGUAUCCAGCAAAAUUGAAAAUUACUUUGGGGUCAGGGGAGGAAUGCAGAUAUUUUAAGAUAGAAAAUCUUCAUUCAUCUACAGAAGGAAGCAUAAAUUAGCACAGCCAUGUAAUUGUGAUUCCUCUUUAUAUUAAAGCAGUAAUAAGACUACUUGAUAAUUUGACAUUACCUAUAUAUUUCAGUAUCUUUUUAGUGAUACUUUUGCUAAACUGCAUGGCAUUAAAGUUAGUGAAAGUGAAGUUUAACAAUUAAAAAAUUAAACUAAUAAAACCCUCCCAUGCAAUGUUUCCAAAACCUGAAAAUGCCACUUUUUCAGUGUUCUUUUUUCAGUGUUCAGUUUGUCUCUUCAGUAACCCUUCCCUCCAAUAGUCUGUUGCUUGGUCCCUUUCUACCUGUCUAGAAAUUCUACAAUGAAGAAGUUGCAAUUAUUGUUGAAGUUUACCAUAUUCUUACCACCUGAAGGCCUAAGUUUCCAUUUAUGAAUGUCAAUGUCGUACCACUGUAACACCACUGAAACCAACUGUAUUCUUGUAGACAAACCAUUAAUUGUUCAGACUAGUAUCUCAUAGAAUUGUUGUUGUUUUAAAGGUUGGACAUGCUGAUUUAGGCAUUGUCAAGAUCCUUUCUCUUAGGUUUUCCUACAUGGAAGACCGAAUGAAUUUGUGAAGAAAUGUCUUCUUUUCUAGCUGCAUGUUCUGUAAGCUUAUUUCAGGAGAGCAAACUUUGGCCUCUUCAGGGACCUUCUUGGAAGAAUCCCUUGGGUUAGGGCUCUAGAAGGAAGGGGGUGCUGAGAGAGCUGGUUAAUAUUCAAGGAUUACUUCCUCCAAGCUCAAGAUUGGUGCAUCCCUAUGGGUAAGAAGUCAAGCAAAGGUGGCAGGAGAUCUGCAUGGAUAAGCAAGGAGCUCCUGGCAAAACCCAAACAGAAGAAGGAAGUAUACAGAAUGUGGAAGAAAAGACAGGCCACUUGGGAGGAAUAUAGGAACAUUGUCAGAGUAUGCAGGGAUGCAACAAGGAAGGCCAAGGCUCAUUUGGAAUUAAAUCUGGCAAGGAAUGUCCAGGACAAUAAGAAGGGCUUCUUCAAAUACAUCAGUAGCAAAAGGAAGACUAGGGAAAAUGUGGGCCUGCUGUUGACUGGGAUGGGUGCCCCGGUGAUGAAGGAUACGGAGAAGACAGAAUUACUGAAUGCCUUCUUUGCUUCAGUCUUUACUGCUAAGGCCAGCCCUCAGUAAUCCCAGACCCUGGAGACAAGAGAGAAAGUCUGGAGAAAGGAAGACUUUCCCUUGGUCGAGGAGGAUUGGGUUAGAGAUCAUUUAGGCAAACUCAACACCCACAAAUCCAUGGACCCCGAUAGGAUGCACCCACGAGUGUUGAGGGAGCUGGUGAAUGUUAUUGCUAGGCCACUCUCCAUCAUCUUUGAAAGGUCAUGGAGAACAGGAGAGGUGCCUGAGGACUGGAAGAAAGCCAAUGUCACUCCAGACUUCCAGAAGGGUAAGAAGGAGGGCUCAGGUAACUACAGGCCAGUCAGCCUCACUUCCGUCCCUGGAGAGGUGAUGGAACAGCUCAUGCUGGAUGUCAUCUCUAAGCACAUGGAGGAAAAGAAGGUGAUCAGGAGUAGUCAGCAUGGAUUCACAAAGGGGAAAUCAUGCUUAACCAGUCUGAUAGCCUUCUAUGGUGGAAUGACUACCUGGGUAGAUGAGGGGAGAGCAGUGAAUGUUGUCUACCUUGACUUCAGCAAGGCUUUCGACAUUAUCUCCCAUAACAUCCUCAUAGGUAAGCUCAGGAAGUGUGUGUUAGAUGAGUGGACAGUGAGGUGGAUUGAGAACUGGCUGAAUGGCUGAGCUCAGACAGUUGUGAUCAGUGGUGCAGAGUCUAGUUGGAAGCCUGUAGCUAGUGGUGUCCCCCAGGGGUCAGUACUGGGUCUAGUCUUGUUCAACUUAUUCAUCAAUGACCUGGACGAAGGGACAGAGUGCACCCUCAGCAAGUUUGCUGAUAAUACAAAACUGGGAGGAGUGGCUGAUACACCAGAGGGCUGUGCUGCCAUUCAGAGAGACCUGGAGAGGCUGGAGAGUUGGAUGGAGAGGAAUCUCAUGAAGUUCAACAAAGGCAAGUGCAGGGUCCUGCACCUAGGGAGGAAUAACCCCAUGCACCAGUACAGGUUGGGGGUUGACCUGCUGGAAAGCAGCUCUGUGGAGAAGGGCCUGGGAGUCCUGGUGGACAACAAGUUGACUGAGCCAGCAAUGUGCCCUUGUGGCCAAGAAGGCCAGUGGUAUCCUGGGUUGCAUUAGGAAGAGUGUUGGUAGCAGGUUGAGGCAGCUCUCCACUCAGCCAUGGUUAGGUCACAUCUGGAGUACUGUGUCCAAUUCUGGGCUCCCCAGUACAAGAGAGACAUGGAAGUACUGGAGCGAGUCCAGUGUAGGGCUGCAAAGAUGAUUAGGUGACUGGAGCAUCUCUCCUGUGAGGAAAUGCUGAGACAGCUGGGACUGUUCAGCCUGGAGAAGAGAAGACAGAGGGGAUCUUAUCAGUGAUUACAAAUAUCUUAAGGGAGGGUAUAAAGAGGAUGGGGCCAGUGACAGGACAAGAGGCAAUGGGCACAAACUGAAACACAGGAAGUUCCAUCUGAAUAUGAGGAAAACUUUCUUUACUGUGAGGGUGACAGCACUGGAACAAAUUGCCCAGAGAGUUUGUGGAGUCUCCAUCCUUGGAGAUAUUCAAAAGCCGUCUGGACGCAAUCCUUGGAAACAUGCUCUAGGUGACCGUGCUUGAGCAAGGGGGUUGGACUAGAUGAUCUCCAGAGGUCCCUUCCAACCUCAACCAUUCUAUGUUUCUGUGAUUAAAUGCCCUCCAGUAUUUUCAUUUGGAUAUCCCGAUCUUUUUUUUGUUGUAGCUAUUGCAGUUUCUUCUGUCUGGUGGCUGGAAAAGGGAUUCUAAUAUUUGCAUUUAUAUUACUUCUGUCUUUAAAACUGUAUCAACCUUUGAUAAGCUUUAUUAAGCUUUGUUACUUUAUUAACUAGAAGUGCACUAGUCAGAAAUGUACUUCCUCCUUUGUGAAAUACAUAAGUCCACAUUAGGAAUCUCACUGUCUGGGAAAUUUGUAACAGUUGGUCUCUCAUGUGCAUAGCUACCCCCUUAAGACACAUUUUACUUUUUUCUCAUUUUUUUAGGAGAAAAGUUGUCUUAAAUGUUGGAGCUCUAGAGAGUUUCGGAAUUUCUAAAGUGUAGGUCUCUGGAUAAGAGCAUCUGCCAAAAAACUUUCUCAGAAUGAAGGUGUGAUUGUGCAGCAGCUCAGGUUUAAGUGUGUGUUAUCAGAAGCAGAGUCCAGGACUUGGAGGAGGUAUUCUAAUCACUGACAUAUGCUAAAGCCUAUGCUCUUCUAUCUUUGUUACACCUGGUUUCUGGCUAUAGUUAACACAAGAAUAUUAGCACAUGAUUAUAUCAUAGCAUAGUUUUGAUAUGUUAUUGUAUGCCAUAUAAUUUCUGUAUCAUUUGUAGUUGACUUAUAAAUAAAAUAAUGUAUUCUCAGUGUUCUAAAGUAUUUAGAAACAGGGGAAAGUGUCAUUACUCCCCCCCCCCCAAAAAAAAGUUGUGAAGUAGGAGAAGGCAAAAGAGGCAAAUAAGCAAACUUUGCUUCAAUGAAGUGAGCAAAGGGUGGAAGCAGUCAUGAGACCUUAGGUUUACAGUGAUGAGCUCAGAACUGGUGGAUAGACUGUAAAUAUCAAUCUUAUCUCAGUUCUGGCAAAACGAACAGGUCUCCAGUCCACUGGUUACCAAAAUAAGUCAUGUGGAAAAUUGCUGAUCCACAAGACUCCAUUAAGAACUCUAAAGGACCAUGUAAAACAUAAACAAUUAUGAAUUUGUUGGUUGAAAGUUUGGUCAUGGUGAUCUGAGAUGUGUUAAGGAUUGGUGGUGUUUGGUUGGUGCACACCUUUUUUAUUAGAUCUUAAUUUGUCAUUUGUCAGAAAAUUACUAUUUGGACUUGAAAAUGACUAUUUUAGGACUUGUGGAUUUUUGGCUCUUCUUCCUUUUGAGUUGUAGUUGAAAGAGUGCUGCAUUUCUUUCCUGGCAAUAUAUAAUGUCAGUGUGAACAAGUAGUGUCUUUUUUUGUAUGGGUAAAGAGAAUUUACAAAUCUUAAAUUUUAUAAUUUUGUCUUGUUACAAAAUAAUGUCUGUGUAUCAAAGGAAAGGAUGAGUACUUGUUGUCUGAGAUUUUAUCUUCAACAUGGAAGAUAAAAUGGAUUUGAUGUUUUAUAACUUUUAUUUUAUUACAACAGUGGAGAAAAUUACAGAACAUUUACUGCUUAGGACAGAGGAGAAGAUACAAUAUGCCAAUUAAGAAAUUCAAGAUAAAUGUUUCUUGGAGAAAUUUAAUUUUGCUUCUUUGCUUAUGCCUGUGAAAAUAAAGCAUCUUUUUAUAUGAAACAGUACAAUGCAGGGUAAUGUGGAUUUUCUGUAUAUGUUAAGUGUACUAUAAUCCACAGCCUGCGAUGAAGCUUGAUUUAAUUCUGUGGCAAAUCUUUUUCUCCAGUCUUCAUGUUAGAUUCUUUGAGAGUCUUCAAUACAUUAAAAUGAGGGUUAUAUGAGAAUAAAUAAUGUAAUGUUUUGUACAUGUAAUAUGUUAUAUUGUUUAUUUUAUUGUAACUUAAAAUUUUGCAUUCAUGUUUGCUGCAAAAUUUUGAACCAGCACUACAUAACUUCCUCCUAGCAGAUUCAGUCAGGAAAAUGCUGAGAACUUUUAUCAAUUGGAAAUGGAACAAUUCCACAUUUAGGUAAAGUAUGGAAGCAAUUCAGGUUGGAGAAGCAAGAAUCUAAAUACUGAGUUGGAUAAUUGAUAAAACAAUAAUUUUAGGUUCAGGCAGAAAUUGAUUUAUGUUAGAUACCAGCUUGGAUCUUUUUUGUUUUAGUGAUAAAGGUGUGAAACAUUGAAAUUUAAACUUUGAAUUUAAAAUUUGGUUAAGAAAAGAUAUGUUUAAAAAAAUUUUUUUUGAGACUUCUGCUUACAUAGGUCCUGUGUAUACUGGUAGCAUAUUUGAAUAAACUGAACAAAUGCAUGGGUAGAGAGAUAUUAAUUCUUGUUUAGAGUAUCAAGUGCAGUUACCAUGAAACAUGAAGGUGAUAUUUUGGAGUUCUGUCUAUUCAUUGCAAGUGGUAUCCAUAUUGUAAUUAUUUUUUCAGUUUGAAAAUAAAAGGAUAUUUCUUUUCAUCCUAUCUGUCAUUACAUAAUAGAAAAAUUUCAGGCUGAAUCAGAUCUUAUGCUUGCUUAGUGUUGCUUUUUCAGGAGUGAAUGAGAGAAUAAUAUGAAAACAGAUUGAUGUAGGAGUCAUGAUUUGGGGUCUUCAAACUUUUAUGCCUGUAAACUACCAGUAUUAAUAUUGGAUUAAUGUACUUUAUUACACACAAUGUGCUAUAAAUAAAUUUUUAGACUCAUUAA